GCGCAGCAGGCGCGAAACCUUCGCAAUGCACGAAAGUGCGACGAGGCUACUCCGAGUGCCAUCCGCUGAGGAUGGCUUUUGCCAGGUCUAAACCGCCUGGAGAAUAAGGGGAGGGCAAGUCUGGUGUCAGCCGCCGCGGUAAUACCAGCUCCUCGAGUGGUCGGGACGAUUAUUGGGCCUAAAGCAUCCGUAGCCGGUUCUGUAGGUCUCCUGUCAAAUUCAACGGCUCAACCGUUGAGCUGCAGGAGAUACCGCAGGGCUAGGAGGCGGGAGAGGUGGACGGUACUCUAUGGGUAGGGGUAAAAUCUUCUGAUCCAUGGAAGACCACCAGUGGCGAAGGCGGUCCACCAGAACGCGCUCGACGGUGAGGGAUGAAAGCUGGGGGAGCGAACCGGAUUAGAUAUGAAGUUGAGUUUUUACCAGCUUCACUAGAAACCCGGGUAGUCC
rnacentral:rRNA from 1 species